UACAGGGGGGGCAAGCGUUGUUCGGAAUUACUGGGCGUAAAGGGUUCGUAGGUGGCCAACUAAGUCAAACGUGAAAUCCCUCAGCUUAACUGGGGAACUGCGUCUGAUACUGGAUGGCUUGAGUGCAGGAGAGGAACGCGGAAUUCCAGGUGUAGCGGUGAAAUGCGUAGAUAUCUGGAGGAACACCGGUGGCGAAGGCGGCGUUCUGGACUGCAACUGACACUGAGGAACGAAAGCCAGGGGAGCAAACAGG
rnacentral:rRNA from 1 species